CGCACUCGCCCAGCUCCUCGCCUCUUCCUCCAGUCCCUACCUCCUGCGCACUCUCCCGCCUCGGUGGCCGGCCGAUUCCGGCCGCUCCGGUGAGCUCCGGCGCCGCCCAACACACACAAGGGUGCUCCUCGACGAGCUCUACUAGCUUCACCGAGUCGAUCUACCUCCCGCACUCACGCCGCUCCUCCCGCACGCACGCCGCGCCCUCACCUCUCUCGCCCCCUCCAAACCCUACCCCGCGCCCGCCUCCCUGCCCUGCCGUCGGCGGCGCCGCCGCCGCUCGCCCGGCACCCAUGCCCGGCCUCACACCGCCCAUCUAGAGAGAUGGGGGCCGCGCGCGACGAGGCCGGCGUGCCGUCGUCUCUUCUUCUGCCGCGCCCGCCUCCCUGCCCCGCCGUUGCUGCUCGCCCGGGUACCCGGCCGCGGGUGAUGUGGCCGACGUGCCGUCGUCCGGUCUUCUGCGAGGUCGAGGAGAGCCAAUCCCACCUCGCCGCCAUCUCCUUCAUCCAGCCGGCUGCCGCCUUGGCCGACUCCUCUUCCCCUCCCGUCCUCCUCCUCUCGCGUCUCCUUCCCGUCGUCAGGCCGCAUACUGCUCCACCCUUCCUCCUCCCCUCCCAUCGUUCCCCUCUAACGCUAGGAGUGGGUGAGGAGGCUGAGCCACUGCCCGCUGCCGGCCCGCAACACCUCCUGUUCGACCACGCCGAGGAAGCACUGAACCUUUAUCCUUGCGUCUGUGCACCUCUGGGAAGGAGACGACCCGAGAUUUGGAGUACGUGCAUUGAGGCUUAAAUGUGCAAAUGCACACUGCUGGAGCGCCCUUCAGCAACGACACGGCCGCCGCCUGCGUCGGUUCUCCCCAGCACGACACGGCCGCCGCCGGCAUCGGUUCUCCCCAGCACAGCCACUCUGAAGACGCCCAGGUCCACUGUAGCUGUUGUUUGUUCUGUUUGUUGAGGCUUGGUCGGCCUGCUGUCUGCUACCGUUUCAGGAGGUUGCAAGGUUCCUGAAAAUGCAUUGCCCCAAUGGGAUUACUACCUCACUGAAGUGCCUAACCUACCAAAUCCGCACCAGAUGAUAAUUUAAUAUGCCAAGGAAAUCGGAUACUCUGAAGCAGUAAAACGUUUCGAGCUUGAUGGUCAGCUUGGACCAUACAAUUUGGAUUCUUUUGGAGACUGGAAACAACUUUAAAGCUACUUGUCACAAUGUGUCAUUGAAUGCCUUGAGCCAAUUGGUGGCAAUUGCGUUGGAGACAUCAUGGAUGGAUAGAGCUCCCCAAAUGGAUAUGGAGAGACGAUUGAUGGAAACACUUAGAGAAGACAAAUUUGCAAAGAAAGCGCCUGCACACACUGAGAGGAGAGGAUGCUAUUACACAACUAUCCCGGCUUCGGUUAAGCACAGAAACUUUUCUGCAGAUGAUCUGACUUUGCUGAAUUUGGACAGAGUAAUGUUCUUAUUAUAUUAUCUGUUAGCAUACUUUGGCACGGUUAAUCUUAUCAGCGUGUAUCUGGUUUUUUAUGUCCUUUUUCCCCACAAGCGAUUUGCUGAAGCAAUAGUUUAUCUGAUGCGAACACAUCAUCAUUACAUUUGAACACUGAGAUCUUUGGGUGGCCUUACAUGUGGACACAACAGUCUGAACUUGAAUAGUACAACCUACAAUUGUAGCUAGCGCAUCAACACACAGCCAUGUGAAAACAUUAGUUUGCUGCCUUUAUUGCAUUUUUCUAGAGCCAUAAUUCUGUUAUAGCAUUUCCCUGCCUUUAUUGCUUUCAAAAACACCAUUGAUCAUAAGCUGAUUGCAGCUGUAGGGUCGGGUAUUUAAGCAUACCUCAGGAUAUUUAUAUUUUAGUUGGCAAAAUGUUAUGCCAAUUUUGUGAUUUAUCUAUUUAUUUCACCUUUUAAUACUUUGAAUAUACUAGCCCAUAUUGUUCAUUGCUCUGUAAAGUUAACUCUUGUAGGAACACUGAUUUGCAAAAUAACUUUCUAGCAUUACUUUCCUUAACUCUUCAACACAUACUAUUGGUUUUACUUUCCAUAAUCCUUUAACACAUACUUUAUUUUGCCCUUUUAUAUCCAAGAAUAAGCAUCUAGGGAGAACAUGAGCGUUCUCAGAGCUUAGCCACUGUCGGCCGUCGGAUCAUUUUUUACUUUCCAUAAUCCUUCAACACAUACUUUAUUUUGCCCUUUUAUAUGUGUUGUGAUGUGAGGAGACAUCGGUAGCAGUGGCGGUCGGGCUGAUGUGGACACGGCUGCGAGCUUGAUGUGAGGAAGCGUCAGCGACGAGCUCACCAGGCUCUCCCAACGCGCCUGCUGGACCUCUAGGUUGCCGCCGUCGCGGAGCUGGACGAGGUCAUGGCGGCUUCAAGCUUUUUAGGCUAAUGCUCCUCUGUCCACGGAAUCCCAGAGCAGCAAGGUGUGUUGCUGCUACUCCCUAUACCUCUUGAUGUUAGCAUUCUCCGUCCAUAGCUAAGAUGUGCUGCUGCUGCUGCUGUAGAUUGACAUUUGUAUGCUCUUGCUGCUGUACAUUUGAUUAUCCGUAGCUUUUUAGGCUGCUACUCCUCUGUCCAUGGCGUCCUGGAGCGAAACAUGCUGUUCUUUGUCGAGUGAUAUGUGAAAAACAAAGGGUUCGGUUUGUUUGUGUUAGAUUGAUGUUUCUGAAAGAGAAUGGGAAGAAUGACAUGUUCAUUGGCUUCUGUUGUUUGGUUUGGUCUUCCUAGGUUAUUAUGAUUUCUGGAUGCUCAGUUUGAAAUUAAAUAUGGUAUGUGCUUUUUGAAUCUGCAAGUGAGAAUAAUUAAAUAUGGCUUGUGCAAUUCAGUCGUCGUUGCUAUAUGCUUUACUUUGAGAACAGAUGGACUCUCUUAUGUUGAUCUUGAGAGAAAUUUGUUUUUCAGUUUUUCUUAGAUGUACUUUGAUCUGCUGUGAGCCUUGUGGUUGCAAUCAGUGUGUUUAUUUUGGCUAAAUUAUGAGUUGUCCUGAAUCCGACGUUGUGUGCACAACUACGAGGGGGUGGAGAUGAAAUGGGGCCAAAUGAUCCCGCGGCAACAAUAGCAGAUAUAAAUUCGUGUUGCUAGGGUGCAGAAUGACCUGACUUCGAGAAAAAACAUGGAGAUUCAAGUGCCAUUUUUCCUGCCAAUUUCAUAUUUCAGCAGCUUUCAGAGACGCCUCUUCCUUUUUCAGCAACGUGCCUCUGCGUCAUUCAGCGGUCCUCUGUUUCGGAAUAGUCAUAGAAGAUGAUUUUUAAAUUAUUUAUUUGGAAGCAUAUAAUGCGCAUACAACUGAAAUCUGCUUAUGUUCAAGUUGAUUGCAACCACCCUUGGAUCCCUUAGUAUGACUACUUAUAUAACCUCAUGGUGGAAGCAAGUUUUUUUUGUUUUCCUUCAGUCAUUUUCAUCAUGUGAAAUGAGCUACUGUAAAACAGCAAUGUAGCUUGACUAUUUAUCUGUACUUGAAGUCUACAAGUGUUUUCUUAAGUAAACAAGAACCACCUGAACGAGAAUAAUUAAUUUCAUAACUGGUAAAUAAACUGAAUUGAGCAUUUCUUACAUUUUUUGGUUCAGAGCUUUUAUUGUCUCUUUGGUAAUAUGUUGGAGUUUACUUUUCCUAUGGCAUCCAUUUAUUUUGGAGGUUAUUUGCAUGUAUACUGGUAUGCGGUUGUCUGUGUGCCCCCUUACAGCUGCUUAUUAUCUGUAAGUGGUGAAAAAUAUUUUCCUGAGUUUAAUUGUAUGUAUCAAGCCACUUGGUGGAAAGACCUCCUAUUGUGUCCUGACAUGUGAAUUGAAUGAUGUGGUUAUAUUAACAUUGCUCUUUGUUUUGAUGUCCGUUUCUUUA